rnacentral:lncRNA from 1 species
GAGGAUGAAAGGAAGCCAGACCGAAAACAAGGCAAGGGAGGGAUCAUACACAGGCUCCAACACCCAGUGACUUUACCAACUCAACCAAUAGGCACACUCAUGAAAAUAUCAGAGCUAUGUACAAGAACUGGUAAUGCAGGAUCCGAUGAAAUCUUGUUUGAAUGGGCUUUUCUUAUUAUGUACGGCAAAUGAGGCUUGUUUUCCAAUUUCUAGUGCCUUCAUCCAUGGGGAAAUUUCAUAAACAAAUACUUCAAGCUGGCUACAUAAAUCAAUAUGUUUGAUUGGCUACAAAACAAUCCCAAGGGCUUUUGCAUAGGAAGAUAUGGCUUGUUUUCAAACUUCUAAGGCGUACUGGUACUUGGUAAGCAUCACUAUGUUCCUCAAUUUAAUCCUGGGACAGCAACUAAGAUCCAUUGGACAAUACCAUAGACAAUUAAUUCUCAAUAUAGUUCUUGGUUGUCAUAUGUUUGCUAUUGAACAAGAGCCUAGCUAGGAGUUGUCUUGGUAGGUUAUACCAGACUCCCCUUCCCCUAAUCUCCAUUGUCAUCAAAGCAUUACCCUAAUUUGACCUAUUUGACCUCUCGUGAAUUCUCAGAAGGCAUCUUCUUAGCCUGUGUGUUUGUUGGUUAUCAGGUUCAGUAUGAAUCAUUUUACAUCUUGAUGAGAUCAUUCUUUUCUUAUCAAUUUAGAACAAUAUUUCAUCAUUUACUCCUUUAACCUCUUUGCUUUGAUUAUUGGUAAAUUUUUUUGAAGUUGCAUUACCAUUGUCUACAACAAGUGCUAUUCGAUCUCUUUCAGAUUACCGAUCCUUCAUGCUCCUCUAGUGAACCAUUUGGAACUAGGGAUGCUCACUCCCACUUAACGUUUAUUCCUGAUAACCUAGUCGUCCUAUAUGCAAUCCUUUUUUAUCAUCAUAUUAAACCAAUAUACACUUGACCAAUGAUAUUGUAUCAAUUCUAAGGGAUUUGCUUUGUUGUCUUUCUUAUGUCAGGCAACAUCUUAACAAAUUAAAUAUUCACUAUCCGCCUAAAGAGGGGCAAAAAGAGAUUUAAAAGAUUAACUGGUGUGACCAGUCGCUAGUUUAGAGAGAGAGAGAGAGAGAUCAAGAUUGAUAUUUUGGAAGAAGACAGUUAGAAAAUCAGUUUUCAGUUGGUUACCAAUUUUAAAGAGAAAUAUAAAGAUAGAAAAGAGAAACAAAACAAGAGAGAGUGCAAAACAGAAUGAUAGAUAAAGCAAGAAAGGAGGGUGGGCAAGGAAGAUUUGGAUCUCGUUUGAUAAGGUUAUGCCAAACAAAGAAGAGAGACCAUUGGAUAGUCUUUGUAAUAAGAGUAUAUGAAUCCUAUACAAAUAAGGAGAAAAUUACAAUUUCUUUCCAAGUUUAUCCUAUAGUGUAAUUAACGUUUGUGCCCUUUUGGAUGAGAACAAAACCUCUCACAAUGGGACAGAAAAAGUUAGGCACUGAUAUUCCUUCUAUUUAUUUGAAGACUAGUUCCUUUCAUGGUGGGGUAGAAAAAAAGUAGGCACCAGUAUCCAUCUAUUUAGUUGGAAGACUAGUUUUCAACCAGGACCUCAAGAACCUAUGAGGAGACAACUGGUUCCUACAUUCAAUCUCAGCCCUUGGAUCAAAGGUUAAGAAUGGCUUAGAAAAAGCGGGUACCAAAGCAAGACCCUAAUUCUUAAGAUGCCUUGACCAUGAAUAUGCCCUCAUCAUGUUUUCUAUCACCAAGUUGGCUGCUGGAUAUGAUAUUUCUUCAUAAUAGAAAUGGUAAGAAUCGUUCCGUUCCAACUCCAUGAAUACAUUAGUCAAUACUUUUCCUAGGUGAUGAGCUUCCUCCACAUUUAGCUCCCUAUGAUGAAUAUAUCUCACAUAUGUUAUGCCAAUAUAAAAUUAGGCAACAGUUAUUCAAAAGAGUAGGUUCUUGCCUCAAAGCCCUUGGUGGCUGCUAUUGUAUCUAAAGUGGUCAACCAUGAGUUUACUACUACUAUUCCCAGGCCAACCAUUACUACCUUAGGUUGUAGCAUGUCAAUCGAGCUCGAACUAGCAGCUAUAGUAUGCAAGCAAUCAAGGUACCUCAUAGCUCUUCAGCAAUAUGUAGCCACUAGAUGGUUCAUAUUUAAAACUAUACACAAAUAAAAAAGGAAUUUUGACAUCAUGGUCCCUUAUAUUGAGUGGAAUGUCAGCAUAGUUCCUUUUUCUGUUAUUUUUUUCAUUUUGUUAAUCCACAAAUAUAUUUUUAAUUUUUAAAAAUUAUACAUAAUCCGAAAAUUAAAAAAUUUUAUGUCAGCGUAUAGAUUGUCCAUAGAUCUACAACAUAUAAAAAAAAUCAAGCCCAAAUCAAAAAUUUUAGCAUGAUCUUUCCUUAUUUUGCAAUUUUUUAGCUAUUUUUUCGAGCCCCCUCCAAAAAAAAAAAGAGGGAAUGAGAUAGGAAAAAGAAAACAAACCUUAUUUAGCCUUGGAUCUUCCGUCUAAUAGCCUGAAUCGAUGUUGUUUUUGAAUUAUUUGGGAAGGGUAAGUGGCAGAAGGACGCCUCCUCUUCGUGAAUUGAUGUUGGGAAGCUUCUCGGGCCUUCCCACCAGCAAUUAUUGGGCGGGCCACCCACUCAAAACACUCAACCCAGUUCGGAACCGAGUCGACUCGGGCCAGUUUGCACCAAGUUGGAAUGGAACUAGCCAAUUCUGGAUGGUUCCAGGCUAACGAUCCCGAACUGUCCAGUUCAACACGUCCCAAGCCAUAACGGCCAUGACUGGGGCGAUUCCGAUGACGAAAACGAAACCGACGCCGAAGGAGAAGAGAAGACGAAGAAAAAAGAGGAAGAGAGAGAGGAAGGGAGAGGGAGAGAAAAUAAGAGAGAGAAAGGUCGAAACGGGCCAGUGGAGGCUGGAGAGCUGCCAUGCUGAGGGAGCUGCGGAAGAGGGGCAUGUUCUGGUCCCCUGUUUCGUUCGAAACAGGGGCUGGAGGGGCUCCUUUUAUUUUUGGAGAUUUUAAGUGAAAGUUGGUGAACCCAUUGCCGACUUCACUUAAAAAUCUCAAAAAUAAAAAAGCUCCCUCCAGUCCCUUACUCUCCGGCCCUCCGCUGGCUCUCUGCCGAUCUCCGUCGGCCUCCCCCUUCUCUCUCUUUUUCUUUCUCUCAUUCUCCCUCUCUCCGGCCUCUUCUACUGUGUCGGUACGGGCCCGGCACAGCAUGGCGUGGGCCUAUAUCGACUCAUCCCAUCAGGCAACUGGUACAGCGCUCGGUAUUGGUUCCAACAACCUUGGAUAACAAUCUCAUGUCUACCAUCAAUAGGAUUCUUCAGAAUUCUUUUAUUAUUGUUGAUUAAACAAUCAUAUUUAUGAUCAUUAUAUGAUACAUACAAAUGUUAAGAAUUUAUAUGGACUGUUUUUACUCAAAAGGUAUUUACAACAGGCACAAGAUUUGGAGAGGAUCCUAUGGUCUUGUCCUGUUUAGUAGUAAGAUCAGGUUGAAGGUAAUCAUAAUCUAAAUCCAAUUUUUACCAUGGUUUUACAUAAGAUACAGAUGUUUUCUUUGCUCUAAUUUUGAACAUGGAGAGAACCAAGGGAAUUUUUCCUUUCUAUAGGUUCACAAUUAGACUUUAUUUUUGACAUUUAGGAGGAAUAAUUGGCUUCUGUAGUUUUAUGUUAUCUUCAGCUUUCAAACUAAGAUGGUCAUGAAGAGCUAAUUUUUCAUUUGGAUCUACCCUAGAAUGGCAUUUGGAAUCUGGUAAGAGAAAUCACGUUAUGAUGUAGUUUGCAGGUUGUACUUGCUCUAGUGUGUCAUAAUGGACAUUGGAAUCUGGUUUUUAGGAUUUCCCCUAAUUAGAGGUGGUUCUUUCAUAUCUAGUAUUCCAUGAGAAAUCUACUAUACAAAAGGGAAGAAAAACUCAAGAAAUAAAUUAAGUUCAGGCAUGAAAUCCAAGUUAGAGACGUCACCCGGUGGAGCACCUUCAUCAAACUAUUUUUAUUGGCCGAAAAACAAAGAGAGGGAGAAAGGGCGUUUGUUUUGCUUUGAAGAAACAAGAUUAAGGGGAAGAAAGAAGAGGAAAGAGACUCUAAGAACUUGCUUUUGAGAUGGGGUGAGAGAAGCUUCAGGUUGGGAGAGGAGAAAUUUUGCUGCAGGGGAUAGGACUGUGUGAGUGAGGGAAGUCCUUCUCCUCCUCGGCGGGCACCGCGAUCGAGGCCGCCACGGACGCCCCCGCCGAUCCGGACAGUGGACGCGACCGACCCGGCGUUCGACGAAACCGUCUUCAGGCACGAGGAGAUGAUCCUCAGCGAGUUGGGCAGCAGCCCGUUCCUACCCUUCCCCCUCCUCAUCCUCCCCGGAGGGGAGGGGAGAGAGAGAGGACAUAUCUAGAGGGAAGGACUAGAGGACGGAGGCCUAUGACAUGAAGGGUGGAUAAGAAAAAAAAAACAGACAUUGUUCAAUAGAAUGUCUCAGCCUCUGGGGAAUUUGAGGUACUUAUUUUAUAUCCAACAUAGUUUUAUUUUAAGUAGGUGUGAGAUUUCUUUGUACAUCGGACUAAAUGAGAGGUGCAAGUUGUAUUAAUAGCAAAGGGACCAUCAUGACAUUCCACUCAGAAUAUAGUACCAUCACAACAUAAUCCAAAUAGAAAAAGUAACAUCAGAAAUAAAUCAGUGAAAGAAAAAUUACAUUAAAAAUGAGAUAUAAGAGAAGAUCGAAGAGAAAAGAAAGUAGAGGGGGGCAAGAGAGAGAAGGUGAAGUGAGGGAAAAUUACGAAAGUGCAGCCAUCACCUCCUCUGUAAUCUCUCACUAUCUACUACAUUUGCUAGCUACGACCACCUGUUGUCUACAUAGAAGAUUGCCAACCACCAUCAACUUUUCUAAGCCUCACAGGAAGCUUAGGUUUUAAGGUUCACCAAUCCUUAAGCCUUGCAAUAGCGUAAGGGACAUUAUGAUCCAUACCAAAGAACACAAGAUAAACCUCCUCAUUUGCAUGUUAACUUGCCCAUCCCACUUCCACCUAGGCCACAUAUGUGAGCACUUGGACAUUUGGAGGUUGCUUGAAUGCCCACAAGCAGUCAUCAGCAGCAUCUAGGGGGCAUAAAAGCAUAUGUACCUGCAUAGACCACUUUCAGGAACAUUGAUGAUAAUUGCUGGUUUGAAUUAUGCAAAUGGACCUAUUCUGACCUUUGUUAGCAUUCACUUUUGGCUUUACAACAAAGGACAAAAAAUGUUGGCGGUAUCAGUACCAUGACCUAGCCAAUCAAGUACCAGUUAAGUGCUGAUACCACUAAGCUUCACCCAGAUCUAGAGAGAGAUGGAGAAGGGAAAAGCGGACUCAUUUGUGUUGGUGGAUAUGGUGGAGAAGCUAGUAGAGAUGGAGGUGUCGAGAUCCCUGAAGAUACCUCCAUGCCGAACCCUAACCUUGAAGGCCCCAGAUGGUGGCAGAGAAACAGAUAUGGGGUGAGGGACAACGAGAAGGGUGACACCGAAGGAAGGAGCAUUGACAAAGGUGCCAAGGGAGACCGAGCACGAUCAAAUAGACAGACGAUGAGAGAAGAGAGAGAUAUGGGAAUCAGAUGAAGUCUAGGGGGAUGGGGGAUUUUUUCUAUAAGGGUGCUCAGUUCAACCCAAACAAAUUGGGUCUAUACCAUCCAAAAUUGAGAAAAUUGAUUGGUCGGCUUGAUUUGGUCUGGUCUGGCCCAGUUCGUUCCUUAUCAAGGUUUGCCAUACAUACCAUAGCGAAUAGGACAGUACGAGGCACAUACCAUACAGUAUUGCUUCGAUUCCGGUAUAUGGUACGGGGCAUGUACCAACACUCGGUAUGCCGAACUGGCCCCGUACCAUAACAUACCGUACAGUGAUAGCAUGGCACCAAUAUCAAGACGGAGUACCUUGUUCUCUACCCUUUUCAAAAGCCAGAAUUGUCCCGAUCCUAGGCCAAUUCAAUGCAGCACACUCCAAACUGCCCUGUUUAGAAUUGUUCGGCGAUCCUUGGGCCAAACCACUAUUAUGGGCCUAUUAAUGACCAGAAACAUUUUCAGGAAAGCAUAUUCAUCAAUUGACUUUAAUCUCAAAAUCUAAGACAAAUUGCCAAAAAUUAGGGUUACAAGGAAGGUUUUCUAUAAGGAAAGAAGUAUUGAUCUCAAGCACACCUCUUCCAAAAUAUAAGGAAUCUAAAAGUUUGUUUCCUCAUUUUUUUAUCUUUUGUUAUUCAUAUUUCACUGUAUCAUGAACUAGAAAAUUAUCCAGAGUAUAAACAUCAAACUUCACACAUUUUAACCCAUUGAGAAAACACAAAUACCUUAAAUGACAAGCAUGCAACACUAGGUACGUCGUUCCCCUAAUUCAAUAGUCGAAUCAUUACAUGAUUUCACAAUCUUAAUAACUUACUGUCCACAAUAUUACUCAUUUCUUGAACAUAUUGUUCCAAUUAUCGGAUGAGGAUUGCAACCGGUUGAAUGUUUGUUGUACACAAAAAAAAGGCUAAUUGCAACCUUGUUAAAGGGCUUAACCAUAGAAACCUCAAUCCGGAUUUUUGGGCUUAAAACAAGUUUUAAAAUUCUUUCCUUAAUAAAAACUGUGCUGAAUCAAAAUCUCUCUUCUUUUACAGGGACCGGGGCAUACCCCAAACAAUAAUUUAAAUUUGUAACUUAAUAAGGCAAAAGAAAAUAAACAAGAACCCAAACAAGAAUGCAAUUUUUUUGGUUUCAUCUUAGACCAAUGUAGCUUGCAAUAAGUUAAACGCUUGCAUCCUAGAUUAGAUCUCUGAAAGAGGUGAAAACAUUCAUCUCAAUGUGUUUUGAUGACACAUCCUUCAGAUGAGCUUUGCACCAAAAUGAUAUAAUUUCCUUAGGUUUAUGCUGAAAAUCAAUAUACUGCUUUGAUAUAGUAGAACCUCCCACUAAAUUGUGCUUAACAUUUUCAACAACCAAAAGAUAAUAUAUAAUUAUCUUCUAUAAAUGUAUACAGUUAUUCUUCAAGUAAAUUAAUUAUAAGGCAGUUUUUUCAUUAUUUUGUUCUAAUUUUUUGUAAUUUAUUUAUCAUUAACAUUUAAUAAUAUCCUUCCUGACAUCUUGUUAUUCAAAAAAAGCCAUUGUCACUAGGAAGAAGCCACAAAGUGUAAUAUAUGCAAUGUUUGUCAUAUUGUCCAAAUUGUCUGGUUCGGGUCGUACUGCCCCAUACCAAGUCAAAAUUGGUAUGAAAACACCAUUCAAGCUAGUAUAAGCCCUAAAUCAGCUUAUGUUGACCCAUAUCAAGUUGAAUCAUAUCGUACCACCAAGUAGUGCCCAAAAUCAGGGUGUGUAACAUACCAUACCAAGCUGUGUCACUCGGUUUCGGGUGGUACCGUGAUAAAAAGUUAAAAUAAAAGGUUCAUAAACUAUCUCGGUAUAGGGUGCAUACCAUACUAUACCAAUCAUAUCGUACCGAACCGGUAACAUAUCAAUACAAUAUCCAGUACCGAGAUUGCGGAUCUUGAUGUACAUUGUAUAUUCCAUGUCACAAUAAGGCCUCAUUUGGGAAUGUUUUUGAAGAGUCAGAAAGUGCUUUUUAGUCCUCCAAAAACAUUUUUGAACCAUUUGGUGGUGUUUGGUAACAAAAAUGAAAGUACUUUCUGGUUCUUCAAAAAGUUAAAAAAUGUCUCCUUGGGAAAUAGAGCUUCUCCCCAAAAGUAGGGAAUGGCUAAAAUGGAGCUUCUCUCCAAAAGUAAGGGUGGCAAUUUUAGCCAACCCAUCGAGUACCCAACCUGACCUGACCCUAACGGGGUGGAUUUUACCCGAUCCAUUUAAACUUAGAGCUAUGUACGGGUUUUAGAAAUAAUACCCGAAACGUGUUCGGGUCAGGUGCGAGUAAUGGUAAGACCCACCCUAAACUCGACCCGAUAUAAUAUACCCUAAUUCCCCUCCCCCCUUCACUCGACAACCGCAGGGCCCAUCGCCUUGUCCAUCCCCCUUUUGCCUAGCAUGCUCCUCCGUCCCUCCCCACCCCAUGCUCUUCCAUCCAUCCAUCCAUCCCUUUGAUUGAAUAGUAUCUGACACAAAUAUUCGUGCCAACUAGGCUUGAUUCAACCACCAUCUACCAACAACUAAAUAAGGGAAAAAAAGAAAAAGAGAGAAAAAUAGAGGAGAGCUUAAGUAGAAGACCCUCAACAAUGGAUCACCUUCUCCGAUUCCUAUCGACGAUGGAUCACCUUCUCUAAUUCCCAUCCUCCCUUCUUUUUCUCUCGUCUCUCCGCUCUUAGGGCAAGAAAGGGACUCUGUUUCUUGGCCGCAUCUAGAAUCCAACGAGGGCUAGUAGAGAUCAGCAAGGAUCCCAGAGGCCUCAAGGUAUCUCCUCCAUCUCUCUCUCCCUCUCUCUCUCUCUCACGAUUUUUUUUUCAUUUCCACUAAGAGAAAUGUUGGGAUUUUUUUGUUUGUCAUCUAUUUGGGGUUCAGCUAGAUGCCUCUAGGGUUGGAGGGUUCUAAUCCUCAAGGCUUCCCCGAGGAUGACACAAAUGAAAUAAGUGCCCGAACCAAUCUAACCUGCCACAACCCUCGUCUAGUUUAUCCAACUCGACCCGCCACAACAUACCUUUUCUACUCUAUCCGAUCUGACUCCGAAGCGGGUAUAGGUAAGGGGUUUUCAAUUGCAGUACGAAUAUUAGCCGACUCGACCCAUACCCGACCAUUGCCAUCCCUACCCAAAAGCUCUACUUGCUAAUGUCGAAAAAUUAUUUUUGGUUUAAUAAAUUUUUUGUAGUGACCAAAAUACCCAUGCUAAAAUAUUGUACUGUAUUAUUAUUACAUUACUAUAUUACAUUAUGUUAUUAUAAUAAUAUAAUAAUGCAUAAUGAUAUCUUAUCGUACCACUUCUUCUUACAUUAUUAUACUAUACUAUACAAUAUUAUAUUACAUUUAUAAUAAUAUCAUACUAUACCAAUAUUUUAAUAUGUAAUAAUGCAUUAUUAUAUCACAUCAUAUCAUAUUAUAUUGUUAUAUUAUAUAAUAUUAUAUUACAUUAUAAUAAUAUUAUAGUAUAUAAUAAUAUUUUAAUAUGCAAUAUUAUGAUGUAUGAUACUAUACUAAACAAUAUUAUGUAAUGUCCUUUAUUGUCAUUUUGUCGUACUAAAAGUACUUUCUUGGUUUGAUCACCAUGCAAAUGUAUAAGUUUCACAGCACUUUAGAAAUAUAGUUACCAAAUAGCAAACAGCUCUUUGUUAAUAGCUCUAUUUUCAAAAACUUUACUACCAAUACAAUCCCAAACAAGGCCUAAUUAUCAAAUCUACAUGGUAAUUAGUAUGACAGCACAAGUUUUUUAAUAACAGCGGGAUAGCAAGGCAUCCCACCAUCCUGAGUGUCAAGAGAGGGCAGAAAGGAUUGAGUGUGUUGGGACGAGAUGACUCAAGAAAUGGACUGAGCCAGGAUAGGAUAUCCACCAUCCCGAGUGUCAAUACGCCAUAUUUAAAAUGUUGCAAUAUCUCAUACACUACAUGACAUUUUUAGGGAGACAAGAAUUUUCUAUUAUCACAACUCUAAUGUCAAACUUAACAUUGUCAAAUUUGUCAUCUUUACCCUUGCUCAGUUCAAAAUUUUAAUUUAACUACAUUGAUAAUUCUACCUUUUUGUUUUUUGAAUUUCUUGAUUUGCCCACCACUUUAUUUCAAACACGUUUGAGACUGAGAAUUAAAUGUUACAUCCAACAUGGGAAUAGGAUAAUCAAAGCGAAUUAUGAUCACCUAGUCUAAAUAAAUGGGAGGGACACAUAAUAGGACUAUCAUGUCAAGAAAGACAAAUACAAAACAUGGUUAUGAUUAUCAUUGUUUAGGGAACUAAAAGAAUUUCAAUUGUAUAUGAUAUACAUCAUGUAAUACACUACCUCUAAACAGUUUCAUCUAACGAAAAACAUGGGAAAAGGAUGAGAAAAAGACCAUGAGUCCAAUAAAAUAGACUCAGAAAAAAAUGAUUUUAUUGAUCUCAGAAUUCACCUUUAGAUUUGACUUGCAUCAUCAUAUAAUACAUAUGCAUGCACAUGACACAUGCACGCACACACAAAAACACAUUGAUAUUCUAAGCCUAAUGCUUCAGUUUUAUUUGAGAAUAGAUCCAAACUCACAAAGUAUGACUGUGAUCAGAUUUGAGAUAAAGAGGCUUAAAUAUAAAGGGAAUUUCCAAUUGAAAGAUAAGGUUCAUGAAAAGUUGCUUUCAGAACCUGACAGGCAACUUCCCACGCAACCAAAGACAUUACAAAGAAGAAGAUAUCAACAAUUAGUAGAGAAAUUUGUCUGCUAUUAAAAUCAUGUAAUUCCCACAAAAACUAGCCAGUUCUUUCCUCAUAUUCAGACUUGUCCAAAAAAAAAAAACUUAUCUCUCACUUUCUUAUCCUUAGUACUUGCAUUUGUUUUAGGUGGAUCACAUCAGAUAAACAAUAUGAAAGGAAAAAUAUCCCGAUAGUUGCUGGCAACAUGAAGUGGACCUACAGGUCCCAGAUAAUAAGGAAGCAGACAGCUUAUAGUCUAUCCUCUAAAAUAAAACCACACAUCACUUUCCAAUAAAACGAUUGCACCCUGAUCAACUGAAAUAAACAUACCAUGCCAUCCACAAACCCUUCAGGAGGAAAAAAGAAAGGCAAAACCAAGUAUGAGGCCUGCAUUAACAGGCAGUUCCAAUCCCCAGUUUCAGUGGACCACCACAGCUUGAUUAGUUGGAUUCUAGAGUAGUGAACCAUCUUAAAAAAUUUCCGCCAGUAAUGACACCUAUCAUUUGUACAGCAUACAGAGGCCUAAAACUAACUUUUAAGUCAAAAGAAUCAUAAACAGCCUCUUGGCCCACCACCACCUGACUUCUUCUUCACCAAAAAGGGAUGCAGGUACCAUAGCAAAUUCGGACACAGGAGCAGGGAAGUAGAGCUUUAAAAAGGACUUGAGUAAAAACUUCUCGGAAAGAGGAGCAGGCACAAAAUUCAGAAUAAAAUCCAAAGCAAGUGUAGCUGCCCAAGUGGAAGAACAGUCUGGAUACAAGGGUGAAAUUGUAACACCAAGCUCUCUUGCACUACAGUAUUUCUCCUCUUGUUCAACAGUUAUUCUAAUUGAUUUAAAUUGCCUAAAAAAUUAUACUGCAUAGUAAUUCAAUAGCAUCAUAAGCAUAUGUCAACAAAAAAGUAAAGCAUAGGUACUUCAAAUGGACAUAACAUCCAAAUUAAACUUAGGGCCGUUCAAUUGGCAACUUAUAUGACAACAAGUCCAUAAAACUUAAAAACAUAUGUAGUAUAUAACAGUUGUCUGAUAGACUCUUGUAAAGCCCAUUUUGAAAGGUCAGUCAUAAGACCUAGAAAUGAGUUUACAGAAUUAGACUCCCCUUAUUUUUUGAAAGGCUGAAAAGCACAAAAUUGAUAGAUUGCUCUAGAUCUCAUAGCCAAUCCAGCCCAAACAGCUAUCUAAGGGAUUAAAAGGUGUUGUAUCUUAAUUUCCUUGGUAAAGGAGAGACAGGGGUUAGGAAGUCUGUAAGGGAGGGAUGGCUUUUGCAUUCAUUUCCUCAUUGUACUUGUGGCUUUGUCUAUACUUCUCAAGUAUGCAACUAAACUUCCCUUAUAAUAAUCAAGGGGUUUUUUUUUCCAGUCUAGCUGCAUUAAUCUUGCCUCGACCAAAGCAAAAUGAUUCGGCAUCUUUAUGAUUAAAUAGAUGAGCCUCUGAAAACCUUUAUUGGUGCCCACAAUAUAUGAUGUACUGACCACAAUCCUUCUCUACAAAAAAAAUAAUAUUAUAUAGUGUAACACAAAUCCUGGGAUGAAGCUGUUACAAGGGAUAUUGUGAAGUUCAUGAGAUGAGGCAACAGCAUUAGCAUAGAAUAGAUGGCUAAAUAGGUUUACAAGCAAAUACUAUAUAAUAAAACACAUAUCUAAGAGAGAUACUAUUCAAGUCCAGUUUGACAAUGGGCACGUAGAAGACAUGCCAUGCAUGAUUGAGAGUAGACUCUCAUUCGAUUAUAGACUAACUAGAUUAACCUAUAAGACAAUAUCCCAAUCAGAGGCUAAAAAGGAGAUAUAUUUGUCGGUUGAAUAUGGUUUUAUAUCAAUAGUAAAAUAUCCACAAAUACAAAUUCCAAAAGUGUAACUUUAGCAUGUGUAUAAAUAUAAAAUCUAAACAUUGGAAAUUUAAGAGGGAUGCUAGUGGCAAACUCAAACCAUAUAUAGAUGAUACCAAUUAUUCAAGUCUUUGUGAAUGUGCAUAUACAUUACCUAUCACUCCAAUCUGACUGGGAGCAGUGAAAUUGCUCGAAAACUGGUAGUAAAUCUUUUCUCCUUAUUUCGACCUCAUGAAAGGAUAACUCUUCAAUCUCAAUCUCUCCAUUAGUACAAUCAUUAAAAGACCUUCCACUAGUUCUUGAUGGAUCCAUCACAUAACAAGAAAUCUAUAACAAAAGUAUAAAACAAUUUUUAUUUACUGUCAAUAAUAAUUAGGAAAAAAACUGGUAAAGCACUUAAAGGAAAUGACAGAACAAGGUGAAUACCUUAGAUAUCUGCCAUAUUGGAAUUCUUCCCGAGCUAAUCUGCACUUCGGCAUUGGAAAGGUACCAGUGGGGUCUUUCGUGACUCUUUACUGACUCUUUACCAGCUAUACUAUUGGUGGAUGACAUAGAACCUGAAGUUUCAAUAUCUUCACAAUCAGAAGUAUCCAUGACUGUCUCAGCAUUCUGUUGAUUCCUAAAGGCAAUUCGAAGGAUAUUUUCCUCUCUUUCAGGCCAAUUAGAUCUUCUGCAGACAUCCCACCAUUGAACUGGUUCAGCAUUUACACGCAACUCCUCAUCCUGAAGUUGCAAAAGAGGACCAGAUCCAAUUCUUGAGCUGCUAUCAGAUGACUCUGCACCUGAAGAUGGCAGAAGUUCAUGUUGAAUCACAUGACCAGAUGGAGAGUAAACCAAAAGAUGCUCCAAUGAAUUGGCCUUGGAGGGAAUUUGUAGACUAUCAUGGAAUAUAGAAUUGUGGAAAACAGCAGCAAUGGCACCUGACGGUACCGAUAUCUUUCCAGCUGCAGAAGCUGCAACAUUGCUAACAGUAUUUAGCCAACCAGAAUUACAAUUUUUUAUCCUACUAACUACAGAAAGUGUAACAGGAGGUGGAGGUGGAGGUGGACGAAAUUGUUGAUCUGUAAUGCAUGACGUAGUUGACCACCAU